GGAUGAAGAACGUAGCGAAAUGCGAUAAGUAAUGUGAAUUGCAGAAUUCAGUGAAUCAUCGAAUCUUUGAACGCACAUUGCGCCCGUCAGUAUUCUGGCGGGCAUGCCUGUUCGAGCGUCAUUACGCCCCUCAAGUCCCCUGUGGACUUGGUGUUGGGGAUCGGCGAGGCUGGUUUUCCAGCACAGCCGUCCCUUAAAUUAAUUGGCGGUCUCGCCGUGGCCCUCCUCUGCGCAGUAGUAAAACACUCGCAACAGGAGCCCGGCGCGGUCCACUGCCGUAAAACCCCCCAACUUUUUAUAGUUGACCUCGAAUCAGGUAGGACUACCCGCUGAACUUAAGCAUAUCAAUAAGCGGAGGA
rnacentral:misc_RNA from 1 species